ensembl:lncRNA
GGGCUCUGGUCAAAAUCAGUGCCCUAUAUAGGGAAUAGAGUGCCACAGGGCUCUGGUCAAAAUCGGUGCCCUAUAUAGGGAAUAGAGUGCCACAGGGCUCUGGUCAAAAUCAGUGCCCUAUAUAGGGAAUAGAGUGCCACAGGGCUCUGGUCAAAAUCGGUGCCCUAUAUAGGGAAUAGAGUGCCACAGGGCUCUGGUCAAAAUCAGUACCCUAUAUAGGGAAUAGAGUGCCACAGGGCUCUGGUCAAAAUCAGUGCCCUAUAUAGGGAAUAGAGUGCCACAGGGCUCUGGUCAAAAUCAGUGCCCUAUAUAGGGAAUAGAGUGCCACAGGGCUCUGGUCAAAAUCAGUGCCCUAUAUAGGGAACAGAGUGCCACAGGGCUCUGGUCAAAAUCAGUGCCCUAUAUAGGGAAUAGGGGUGUCAUUUGGGACACUAUGUGUCAGCACAUUUAAGGAAACAGAACAGCUGAAAACACCUUUACAGACUGAUCUGUGGUCUGUUUUAGAGGGUUUCCAACCUAAAUGGUGAAGUUGAGGAAUAAUGGUAAAGGUAGAUCCCACAGAUCCUAGAUCUGUGCCUGGGGGUCAACUUCAACCUGAACCUAAAAAGACCCAACAGCUAAAAUGACCUUUGAACUCCUUUCAUACAUGGAGGGGCUGAGUCACAAUAGUUUAACGCAGUGUCCUCUCCUCCAGUUUCCUUUCCUUCAUCUGCGCUGAUGUGAAAGGACUGGACUGGGGAAAGCAAAUACCCAGUGUUUAUACCUCACUGCAGACAGAGAGGAGAUGGAGAAACCCCGUUAGACAGAACCAGGAAGUAAAACAGGAUUCAUUACAGACCAGUGUUUAUACAUCACUGCAGACAGAGAGGAGAUGGAGAAACCCCGCUAGACUACUGAGACAGAACCAGGAAGUAAAACAGGAUUCAUUACAGACCAGUGUUUAUACCUCACUGCAGACAGAGGAGAUGGAGAAACCCCGUUAGACAGAACCAGGAAGUAAAACAGGAUUCAUUACAGACCAGUGUUUAUACAUCACUGCAGACUGAGAGGAGAUGGAGAAGCCCCGUUAGACAGAACCAGGAAGUAAAACAGGAUUCAUUACAGACCAGUGUUUAUACAUCACUGCAGACGGAGAGGAGAUGGAGAAACCCCGCUAGACUACUGAGACAGAACCAGGAAGUAAAACAGGAUUCAUUACAGACCAGUGUUUAUACAUCACUGCAGACGGAGAGGAGAUGGAGAAACCCCGCUAGACUACUGAGACAGAACCAGGAAGUAAAACAGGAUUCAUUACAGACCAGUGUUUAUACAUCACUGCAGACGGAGAGGAGAUGGAGAAGCCCCGUUAGACAGAACCAGGAAGUAAAACAUGAUUCAUUACAGACCAGUGUAGUGUGUCGGUAACAUAUGAAGCUGCUAGAGCUGAACAGUAUUUACGGACCAUUAGGCUGCAUUUCAUGUCCCUCUAAGCUAGGCUGGAAUACACACUACAGAAAGCUGUUUUUCAGUACUGUGUCCUGCUCUGUGUGUGUGUGUGUGUGUGUGUGUGUGUGUCGCUUAAUCCAAACACAAAAAUCAACCCAAGUGUGUUGGCCGUGUGUGUGUGUCAAUCGCACUGUCAGCAAUAACCUAUAGAGAAAGAAAGGAGUCAAACCACUGUUUAAUACACACACACGAGAAUAGGGUAUCCUUUGUGACUCAGAGAGAGUGAACCAUAUAGGCUGAGGAGUGUACUAGUGUUUACUAGGUAGAUAGGUCUACAGUAGGCUAGAGGAGUGUACUAGUGUUUACUAGGUAGAUAGUAGCCUGUAGGCUAGAGGAGUGUACUAGUGUUUACUAGGUAGAUAGUAGCCUGUAGGCUAGAGGAGUGUACUAGUGUUUACUAGGUAGAUAGUAGCCUGUAGGCUAGAGGAGUGUACUAGUGUUUACUAGGUAGAUAGGUCUACAGUAGUGUUUACUAGGUAGAUAGGUCUACAGUAAGGCCUAAGUUAAUGAGUUUAACUCUCCCACACUCCAAAUGCGCCUAUGAGACCCUACAAGCCAAAGUAAAAAAAUAGUGCACUAUGUAGGGAAUAGAGUGCCAUUUGGGUAGGUUGAGACCCCAGGACCUGUGUACGGGCCAACCAAUGAGAAGCCAGUUCCUUACUGUACAUUCAACUUAACACAGGACCCACUCUAGUCCUGGCUAAUAUAAUAUAUAAAACACCUCCCAUGUCAGAGCUAUGGAUCAGGACCUGUAUUCAUAAAACCUCUGAUCUAGGAUCAGGUCCCUGUCCAUAAGAAUCUGAUUGGUUAUGAUCUACAUGGCCAAACCAAUACUCGAUCAGCACUCCUACUCAGAGAAGCUUUAUGAAUAUUGGGCCAUAUUCCAUGUUACUCUCUGUUGAGAGAAAUCAGUUCCGUUCCAAAAUCUGCACUAGCAUACUACUUAGAAUAUAUUGGGCAUGCAUACUUAGCAGUGUGCUGGUAUAGAUAUUGGGACGUAACCUAUAAAGAGUGAAGUUAGUUACUCCAACUGGCAGUGUAACACAUAUUUAACAUUACCAAACAACAGCUAUGUUUGGUUAACUUGUGCGUUCAAAAAAACAACAUGCUCUGAUUGGAAGGUUCAGAUCAGAUGACAGGAAGUGGAGGAGCUAAAUGAGAACCUACUCCAUAUCUAGUGCAGUACGUUUGGAGUGCACUAGAUAAAUAAAUAGGGUGCCAUUUGAAACACUGCCAUUGACACCAAUGGAGGAACUUGCUUGAUUAGGAGACAGACAACAUACAUAUGUGGUUGGCAGGCGUUUUGUAGUGUGUGUGGUAUAGUUUGCUGUUGUUGCCAGAGGGGAGCUAGAGAGCACACGUGUCCCUUCAAAAACAGAUGCAGCUUUUGGCAUCCAAACCAUAAUAUAACACUGGCCUGCUGAGCUGCAAAAAGGGACCAAACUCUUCUCUCCACCCCACUCUCCAAACCAUAAUAUAACACUGGCCUGCUGAGCUGCAAAAAGGGACCAAACUCUUCUCUCCAC